rnacentral:rRNA from 1 species
UGGCGGACGGGUGAGUAAUGUCUGGGAAACUGCCUGAUGGAGGGGGAUAACUACUGGAAACGGUAGCUAAUACCGCAUAACGUCGCAAGACCAAAGAGGGGGACCUUCGGGCCUCUUGCCAUCGGAUGUGCCCAGAUGGGAUUAGCUAGUAGGUGGGGUAACGGCCCACCUAGGCGACGAUCCCUAGCUGGUCUGAGAGGAUGACCAGCCACACUGGAACUGAGACACGGUCCAG